CGCCCAACGGAUGGGCGUCCGGCGAAAACCACGUGGCUUGGGACCGGAAGGCUCGAGGGGUACGUCCGGGGUAGGAGUGAAAUCCCGUAAUCCUGGACGGACCGCCGAUGGCGAAAGCACCUCGAGAAGACGGAUCCGACAGUGAGGGACGAAAGCUGGGGUCUCGAACCGGAUUAGAUACCCGGGUAGUCCCAGCCGUAAACAAUGCCAAUUAGGUGUGGCACCGACUACGAGUCGGUGCUGUGCCGUAGGGAAGCCGAUAAAUUGGCCGCCUGGGAAGUACGUCCGCAAGGAUGAAACUUAAAGGAAUUGGCGGGGGAGCACUACAACCGGAGGAGCCUGCGGUUUAAUUGGACUCAACGCCGGACAUCUCACCAGCAUCGACUGUAGCAAUGAUCAUCAGGUCGAUGACCUCUAUGUUGAGCUACAGAGAGGAGGUGCAUGGCCGCCGUCAGCUCGUACCGUGAGGCGUCCUGUUAAGUCAGGCAACGAGCGAGACCCGCACUCCUAAUUGCCAGCAUCGCGUUCGCGCGGAUGGGUACAUUAGGAGGACUGCCGCUGCCAAAGCGGAGGAAGGAACGGGCAACGGUAGGUCAGUAUGCCCCGAAUGUGCUGGGCUACACGCGGGCUACAAUGGCCGAGACAAUGGGUUCCUACCUCGAAAGAGGAUGGUAAUCUCAGAAACUCGGUCGUAGUUCGGAUUGAGGGUUGAACUCACCCUCAUGAAGCUGAUUCGGUAGUAAUC
rnacentral:rRNA from 1 species